AUGUUGGUGGUUCAGUGGUAAAAUUCUUGCCUUCCACGUGGGAGACCUGGGUUCGAGUCCCAGCCAGAGUA
rnacentral:tRNA from 1 species